rnacentral:rRNA from 1 species
AGUCGAGCGCGCGAAGAACCUUACCAGGUCUUGACAUCCUCUGACAAUCCUAGAGAUAGGACGUCCCCUUCGGGGGCAGAGUGACAGGUGGUGCAUGGUUGUCGUCAGCUCGUGUCGUGAGAUGUUGGGUUAAGUCCCGCAACGAGCGCAACCCUUGAUCUUAGUUGCCAGCAUUCAGUUGGGCACUCUAAGGUGACUGCCGGUGACAAACCGGAGGAAGGUGGGGAUGACGUCAAAUCAUCAUGCCCCUUAUGACCUGGGCUACACACGUGCUACAAUGGACAGAACAAAGGGCAGCGAAACCGCGAGGUUAAGCCAAUCCCACAAAUCUGUUCUCAGUUCGGAUCGCAGUCUGCAACUCGACUGCGUGAAGCUGGAAUCGCUAGUAAUCGCGGAUCAGCAUGCCGCGGUGAAUACGUUCCCGGGCCUUGUACACACCGCCCGUCACACCACGAGAGUUUGUAACACCCGAAGUCGGUGAGGUAACC